CUCAGGUGUUCUCAGGUGAGUCCCACAGGUGUCUCAGGUGUUCUCAGGUGAGUCCCACAGGUGUCUCAAGUGUUCUCAGGUAAGUCCCAAAGGUGUGUCAGGUUACACCCACAUGUGUCUCAGGUGUUCUCAGGUGAGUCCCACAGGUGUCUCAGGUGUUCUCAGGUGAGUCCCACAGGUGUCUCAGGUGUUCUCAGGUGAGUCCCACAGGUGUCUCAAGUGUUCUCAGGUAAGUCCCAAAGGUGUGUCAGGUUACACCCACAUGUGUCUCAGGUGUUCUCAGGUGAGUCCCACAGGUGUCUCAGGUGUUCUCAGGUGAGUCCCACAGGUGU